rnacentral:rRNA from 1 species
AGUGAACGCUGGCGGUAGGCCUAACACAUGCAAGUCGAACGGCAGCACAGUAAGAGCUUGCUCUUACGGGUGGCGAGUGGCGGACGGGUGAGGAAUACAUCGGCAUCUACUUUUUCGUGGGGGAUAACGUAGGGAAACUUACGCUAAUACCGCAUACGACCUACGGGUGAAAGCAGGGGAUCUUCGGACCUUGCGCGAUUGAAUUAGCCGAUGUCGGAUUAGCUAGUUGGCGGGGUAAAGGCCCACCAAGGCGACGAUCCGUAGCUGGUCUGAGAGGAUGAUCAGCCACACUGAAACUGAGACACGGUCCAGACUCCUACGGGAGGCAGCAGUGGGGAAUAUUGGACAAUGGGCGCAAGCCUGAUCCAGCCAUACCGCGUGAGUGAAGAAGGCCUUCGGGUUGUAAAGCCCUUUUGUUGGGAAAGAAAAGCAGCAGGUUAAUACCCCGCUGUUCUGACGGUACCCAAAGAAUAAGCACCGGCUAACUUCGUG